rnacentral:lncRNA from 1 species
GGAAACUGGAUGUUCUCCUAAAACAGCCACCUAGCCAAGCUGAACCAACAGAGAUGUAUUGAUCACCGGGUCAAUGGAACUAGGUGGGUGCUGGGGGGAAAGUCAGCAGGUAAGUCAGGUGAGGACUGCCUCCCUUCCACUCCCCACCCAGAGACUGAAGACAGACAGACAGACAGAGGCGUUCAUUCAGAAAGAAGUAGGAGGGCUUCAGGGAUUCAGCGGAGGAGACUGAAAGCCUGAGAGACGAUGCCUCUGAGAAGGUUACAGACCUUGGGAGAAAGCGCUUUCACCUCCUCACCACAGACACUCUCGACUGUGGACUCAGGACACUAAGCCAGAAAGGUGACGAUUUCCUUCUUGAACCCGGCCUGCAUCAGCAGCUCAGACCCAGGGCUCCGGGUCCUUUGCUCUAUGUCCAGUGCUCUUUUUGCUCCCUCACACACUUAGCGAUGGCAGUGUUCUUAGUAUACUCAAAGAGCUUUGUAAUGAAUUAGAGCAGCCAUUCCCAACCUUCCUAGUGCUGCGGUCCUUUAAUACAGUUUCUUAAGUUGUGGCGAACCAUCCCCCCCACCCCCAACCAUAACAUUAUUCUUGCUGCUGCUGUUAUGAAUCGUAAUGAAACAUUUGAUCUGCAGUACAUCUGAUAUGUGAUUCCCGAGAAAGGGCCAUCAUAUUCCAAGGGAUCGGGACCCACAGCGUGAGAAGCCCUGAACUAGAGAUCCGCCUAAACUGAGAAACAACCUAGCACCUAUCCCAGCCCAUCAAUGUUGUAUAUGGCAACAGAUUCAAAAGCCCAGACUAAAACAUACUCACCAUCCAUGUUACCAGCUCUCACCAUGGGGCAGCAAUGUGGAUUUAGUAAGCAUAGCCCACGGGCACUCAUUUUGAAGACACUAGGAGAACUUCAAAGCCAGGUUUGUUCUUCUGCCUCUGGUGACAUUUUUAAAAUUUCAGCACUGUUUUUUUUUUUAAUUGAUUCUUUGUGAAUUUCAUAUCAUGCACCUCAGUCCUGCACAUCUCCUGUCCCCUCCCUCCCUCCAACCUCCACCCUUCCCCAACAAAGAAAAAUAAGUCCCCACUAUGGAAGCUGUAGUGUGCCAUCGUGUGUCCUUUUGUCCACACUUCUUUGCUUGCAAGUGCUCAUUGCAUUGACUUUGUUGGUCUGGUACGAGUCAGGCCUCUGGCUUCUGCUAUGCUAACGAUGCUAGAACCUUACUGAGACUCCUCUAGGGUAGACUGUUGUCACCCCGUGUGUCAUGGAGACCCUGUAGUUUUGGAUCUGCAGGACUGGCUUCUUCACGUACUCCAGCAGUUCAUUGAUGGGAUAGACGUGGGGUGGGCUAACUCAAAGCCCUGGAUCUGGGCCUGAGAGGUGUCUGAGCUGCUCAGCCCACCAGCUCUCCAGUUCUUGUGGCCUUUGGAUUGGCUCGCCAGCAACCCCCUCUCCCAGGGCUAGCUCUCCUGGCUGACCAGGAACCUGACAAGACUGACUAGCCAUCUCUAGCAUUCAGAUAGGUGGAACUUCAUUGUGCUGAAGUUAUGUUUGAGCACCCUCUGCUGGACAAAUCAGGAGAAGGCAGCAGCUGGCAUCAAUGGUGUGGUGAGGAGAGAAUCAAGUUUCCUUCUCCAGUUCAAACAGACGAAAGUGAAGCGACAUAGGCUCAAGGACAGGGUCACUGGGCUAGCGCCACACCAUGGAGCCAAACCCCGAGCCUUCUAAAUUGUGAGCUGGGCAUGGUGGUUCACCCCAGGAAUCGCAGCACUGAGGGAUGAAGGCGAGAGAGUCACUGUGGGUGUGACAUCAGUCUGGCCUGAAGUCUGAGACUGUUUUUUUAAAAAGAAAACAUUUUUUUAUGUCAUAUAUUUAAUUAUAUAAAGAUUCUGUUGUUUUGUUGUUGUUGUUGUUAAAAUUCAGCCAGGAAAUUUCCAUCUGUCUGGUGUUAAUUGGUUGUUUUUCAGCACUAAUUGGGAAAUGAUAUAUUUUUAUUGUUUUAUAAAUAGAGUAAAACCCCUCAGAAACUGCUGGGGAAAUUUAAACAAGGAAAGCAAUUCUAUGUCCUUGCUUGACACCAGUUUGUCCCAGAGGUGACACAACUGUGUAGUUUUUGAAAACACUGGGCAUUUAUAUAUAUAUGAGACAAAACCCCACUGUAUAGCCCUGGCUAACUCGAAACUCACUAUGUAAAUCAGGCUGGGCUUUGACACACAGAGCUCUGCCUUUGCCUACUCAGUGUUGGGAUUUAACACCCACACCACCAUAGCCAGCCUUCUCUCCAAGGGGCAAAUUUCUUUCUGAAGCAACUUCCUCAUUUAUUAACAGUAUUGCUUCCAGACCCCGUGUGUGUGUGUGUGUGUGUGUGUGUGUGUGUGUGUGUGUGUACAGAUAUGUGUUUGCAAGUAUUUAGACACAAGUUGAUGCAGACUACACCAGUUUCAUGAAAUUGUUCCCAUGUCAGUGGCUAGUCUGAGCCUUUUGUACUUGUAAACAGCUGGCUGUAAACUGGGGAUUCCCAUACUCUCCUCUUCAGCCCCAUAAUUAUCAUGGUGAUUUGCAACCUGUAGGUAAUGACCCGUUUGGCUCAUAUAUCAGAUAUUCUGCAUGUCAGAUAUUUAUAUUUUGAUUCAUAACAAUAGUAAAAUUAUAGUUAUGAAGUAGUAAUGUAAAUAGUUACACUGUGGGGGUCACCACAACACGAGGAACUGUGUUAAAUGGCUUCAGCAAUAGGAAGGUUGAGAGCCACUGAUUUAUUAGGUCAUUUCAUGGAUCGUGGGGAUGCUUUCUACUUUCAUCUAUUGUUUAUUACAAAAGAUGUAGACAGACAGAUAGAUAGACAGACUCACAGAUAAAUAGAAAAAUAGAUGACAGAAAGAUAGAAAGUUAGGUAAAAAGAUAAAAAGAUAGGUAGAUGCUAGAAAGAUAGAUAGACUCAAAGACAAAUAGAAAGAUAGAUAAUAGAGAAAGGUGGAAAGAAAAAUAGAUAGAUGAUGGAAAGAUAGGUAGAUAGACUGACAGAAUGA